GCCGGGGGCACCGCGGCUAUUUMUCUUAAUUCCCCGCGCGAAGGGAGCUGGGCCAGCCGCGGCCGGAUAAGCUUCCUGCGUGCGGCGGGAGGGGAGGGAAGAGGGAGCCGCCGCCGCCGCCCUCCCCYGGGCGCACGUCAGCGGGGCUAACACCGGGCCACCCGGCCCCUGCGUGCCGAGGGCCGCAGGCAACAGCCACCCCGCUAGCUGCGGCCGCUCCGUGCGCGGGCAGGAAGAGGCGGCAGCUCCCGGCCGCCGCCGCCCGUCCCAACAGCAGUCCGAGCCCGGCGCCCCGCGUAGGGAACCCRGCCCGCUGUGCUGCCGCCCGCGAGCGGGGGAAGUGGGGCCUCAAGCCCUUCUGCGGAUCAGCCUCAAAGUUGGGCCCGGUGCUCCCKAGCGCUGUCAGGCUGCCCGACCUUGGGGACGCGUGUGGAAGUCCCCGAGGAAAUGAGCCAUCUGGUGCAGAGAUUAACCAGCCAUGUGCAAGGGAAAGAAGAAAGCCUCCUUUCAGCCUUCAGCUGUAAGAYAGACCUUCAUCCUCAUCUCCUGGACAUGAAGCUACAGAUGCCAUGGCACACAAGCAGAGUUCAGCCAGGGAGGAGAUCUUCAACUCAACAGAUUGACACUUGCCAARUCUGACAGACAGUUAACUUUUCUGACUAUCAACAGAAUUUUCAGGYACCAAGGCAGGAUUGCCCAGAUUUGGAGCCCAGAAACACUGCUGUUCUCUGUGCUUCAUGAGAAUCUGCUGUAAAAUCAUGUGGAUGAUUCAUACCAAUGUGUGCAGAGGCAAGCACUGUUCUCUAUGCUAAGUGCAUUUACUGAGUACAACAUUUGCAUUGACUACAAGAUGGGUGGYUACAUCCCYUA